CGAAAUCUAUUUAGGUAGAGCGUCACGAUUAGACUCUGGGGGGUAGAGCACUGAAUGGGCUAGGGGUCCUCACCGGAUUACCAAACCUUCUCAAACUCCGAAUACCCAGAAGUUAUGCGUGGCAGACACACGGCGGGUGCUAACGUCCGUCGUGAAAAGGGAAACAACCCAGACCGCCAAUUAAGGCCCCUAAGUAAUAGCUAAGUGCGAAACGAUGUGGAGGUGCUGAGACAAUCAGGAGGUUGGCUUAGAAGCAGCCAUCCUUUAAAGAAAGCGUAACAGCUCACUGAUCAAGCGCCUCUGCGCGGAAAAUGUAUCGGGACUAAAGUUAUUCGCCGAAAUUGCGGACUCGAAAGAGUGGUAGCGGAGCGUUCCGUAAGCCUGUGAAGGUGAACCGUGAGGUUUGCUGGAGGUAUCGGAAGUGAGAAUGCUGACAUGAGUAGCGACAAACAGGGUGAGAGACCCUGUCGCCGAAAGUCCAAGGGUUCCUGCUUAAAGCUAAUCUGAGCAGGGUAAGCCGACCCCUAAGGCGAGGCCGAAAGGCGUAGUCGAUGGGAACCAGGUUAAUAUUCCUGGGCCAGAUGGAAGUGACGAAUCUCGAGGGUAGUUCAUCCUUAUUGGAUUGAAUGGGCUGCUUAGAGGUUCCUGGAAAUAGCUCCAUCGCUAGAUCGUACCCUAAACCGACACAGGUGGACUGGUUGAGCAUACCAAGGCGCUUGAGAGAACGACGCUGAAGGAACUCGGC
rnacentral:rRNA from 9 species